rnacentral:lncRNA from 1 species
AAGCAAUUCUCCUGCCUUGGCCUCCCAAAGUACUGGGUUUACAGGUGUGAGCCACUGUGCCCAGCUCUCAUACCUCGUCUUGAUGCAGUAGAAGUAGUGGUUAAGCCUGGAAUCAGAUCUUGGUUUUCCCUCUCUGAGCCUCAGUUUCCUCAUCUGUAGAGUAGACUUCCUUCACGGGUGGUUGUGAGGAUUUAAUGUAUGUAUAGGGAUAAGGCCCAGAACGUAAGUAAACUCUAAGUACAUGGUAAGUGGCAGUCACUGCUUACAAGUGGAGCCAGGGUUCAGGGUCAGAGCUAGAGACCUACAGGGAAGAGUAGGUGAGCUGUCGGGGCUAGUGAUGGAGAGAGAGAAGAGACUGGAGAUCCAGCUUGGGGAUCCCCUUGCUUCCUGGCCCAGGAGCCACCAUGGAGAGUGAGAAGCUGCCAGAGAAGCAGGAGGAGGAUGGAGAGAAUGUGCUACCAUGGAAACUGGAGGAGGAGGGCGUUCCCAGGAGGAGGGAGUGAUGGAUAAUGUCAAGUGUCAUAAGAGAGGAUGCGAGUAGGGAGGGCAGGAGGGUGAUGGGAGCUCUCCAAUUUAGUUUUUUACAUGGCCCAGGCAGCCCCCAAGCCUGGAUCAAAUCCCAGCUCUCAAGCUAACUGGCUGUGUGACCUAGACAAGGGAUUUGCCUUCUCUGAGCUUCAGUUUCCUUCUAGAGUUGAGAUGUGGGAAUUGGUCCAUCUCUAAUACGAUCAUCAGCCUCACUUAAUAAGAGUCCUAGCUUUGCCGAAUUCUUGGCCACGUGCUAGCAGUGUGAUCUUAGGCAAGUCACUUCACCUCCACGAGAGCACUCUCUGAAAGCUAGAGAUAUGGUAAGCAAAGUGCCACCAAAGUGCCUGGCACAUAGUGGGGCCUCGAUACAGGCUUAUUCUCUGAUAAUUACACGUGUGCCAGAGGCAGCUGCUCUAAGGAGGCUUGCUGGGCUUGGAAUUAGAAAUGCUCCUCAAGGGCUGGGAUUACAGGCAUGAGCCACCGUGCCCAGCCCAACCCAUGGUUCUUAAUGCUGCAGGUGGGUCCGGAGAAAGGCUUUUCUCUUUUAACCAUCUCCUUGAAUUUCAGAAGGUGGGACAACAUGUGCUGGAAAGCAGUUCUUAAGAGGACAUCUUUUCCCAAGCUCCUUAGCCUUAGCUGUCCUCUCCUGCCCUCACCAGGACUGCCCUCUCAGGGACCCAAGAGGAAGGGACAGCCUGGAAAGGAAGAAGGUCCCGGGCCAUCUGCGUCAUGGGGAUGGAGUCCCUUGGCGUGUGCCGGUGCAAAUACACUCCUGUAACGGGGCUCAUCUAGAAUCUCCUCUCGGAAUGAGGAGACCGCAAAUGUGGUUUUGAAUCUUCAUUGUCCACUUCAUUGCUGUGGUGUUGGGCAGGUCUCUGUCCCUCUCUGGGCCUCUGCACGAUGGAGGGGUAGGAGUUGAUGGUUCUGAAGGCUCUGCCAUCCUGGAAAAGAACUGAGACACUUCCCUCAUGUUCCUGGGUCCCAGAAACAGACAUCUGUUGGUAAAAUCUACUGGGCAUUUGCCCAGAGACAGGGAAAAGAAUGCCUGGGGGUCUGUAAUAGGAGCUGCCCCAAUUAGGGGCAGGGAGGCGGGCAUGUAAAAAAGGAAGCUUAAAGCUUUGUUUUCAGGCUUUUUGCCUACCCCAGGCUCCAUCUUGGUACCAAGUACUCAACCUUCUGUUUUCUCAAUAAAGUGAGCCCUCUUCUCGGUGUCUGCAU